rnacentral:rRNA from 1 species
UGGCGGACGGGUGAGUAACGCGUGGAUAACCUGCCGUAUACCGGGGGAGUAACACUUAGAAAUAGGUGCUAAUACCGCAUAAGCGCACGGCUCCGCAUGGGGCAGUGUGAAAAACUCCGGUGGUAUACGAUGGAUCCGCGUCUGAUUAGCUAGUUGGCGGGGUAACGGCCCACCAAGGCAGCGAUCAGUAGCCGGCCUGAGAGGGUGGACGGCCACAUUGGGACUGAGACACGGCCCAAACUCCUACGGGAGGCAGCAG